rnacentral:rRNA from 1 species
AGUCAUAUGCUUGUCUCAAAGCUUAAGCCAUGCAAGUCUCAGUACAGACUAUAUUAAAGUGAAACCGCAAAAGGCUCAGUAAACCAGUUUUAAUUUACUAGAGUUAACUUGACUGUGCUUGGAUAACUGUGGUAAUUCUAGAGCUAAUACAUGCAACAAAGCCGUGACCAUUCGUGGUCAGGGCGCUUUUAUUAGACCAAGACCAAUCGCCCGGCCAGUCCGGGCGUUAAGUUGAGGAACCUAGAUAACACAGCAGAUCGCAUGGUCUUUGUACCGGCGACCUAUCUUUCAAAUGCCUGACUUAUCAACUGACGAUGGUAGACUCUGUGUCUACCAUGGCUGUUACGGGUAACGGGGAAUCAGGGUUCGAUUCCGGAGAGGGAGCCUGAGAAACGGCUACCACAUCCAAGGAAGGCAGCAGGCACGCAAAUUACCCACUCCCGGAACGGGGAGGUAGUGACAAAAAAUAACGAUACGGGACUCGAUAUGAGGCCUCGUAAUCGGAAUGAGUACACUCUAAAUCCUUUAACAAAAAUCUAUUGGAGGGCAAGUCUGGUGCCAGCAGCCGCGGUAAUUCCAGCUCCAAUAGCGUAUAUUAAAGUUGUUGCGGUUAAAAAGCUCGUAGUUGGUUCUGCGUCCCGCGCUGUCGGUACACCGUUUGUCGGUGACACUGGCAUGACGCGGGAUGUCCUGUCGGUGGCGGCGGAGACCAUAUCGCCGUCGGCUAACACCGCGGCGUGUUGGCCUUCUGUCGCCGGCUUUAUCCUACCGCGGUGCUCUUCACUGAGUGUCGAGGUAGGCCGACACGUUUACUUUGAACAAAUUAGAGUGCUUAAAGCAGGCAAAAAUCUCUGCCAGAAUAGUGGUGCAUGGAAUAAUGGAACAGGACCUUGGUUCUAUUCUGUUGGUCUCCGGAACACAAGGUAAUGAUCAAUGUGGAACAGGCGGGGGGCAUUCGUAUUGCGGCGUUAGAGGUGAAAUUCUUGGGUCGUCGCAAGACGCACUAGAGCGAAAGCAAUUGCCAAGUAUGUCUUAAUUGAUCAAGAACGAAAGUUAGAGGUUCGAAGGCGAUCAGA